rnacentral:rRNA from 1 species
CCUACGGGUGGCAGCAGUAGGGAAUGUUGCGCAAUGGGCGAAAGCCUGACGCAGCAACGCCGCGUGAUCGAGACGCCCUUCGGGGUGUAAAGAUCUGUCAGUGGGGACGAAACGUGACGGUACCCACAGAGGAAGCACCGGCUAACUCCGUGCCAGCAGCCGCGGUAAUACGGGGGGUGCAAGCGUUGUCCGGAAUCAGUGGGCGUAAAGAGUGCGUAGGCGGCACGUAAAGUCUGGUGUUAAAGGCAGAGGCUCAACUUCUGUACGGCACUGGAUACUUGCGAGCUAGAUUGCGGUAGAGGUAACGGGACUUCCUGGUGUAGCGGUGUAAUUCUUAGAUUUCAGGAGGAACCUCGGUGGCGUACGCGCUUUACUGGGCCGUAAUUGACGCUGAGGCACGAACGCCAGGGUAGCAAAUGGGAUUAGAUACCCCUGUAGUC